UUUACUGCUAUCUAAUGAAUUCACAUGAAAUCAUCAUGAUAUAAAUACUUACUGCAUGUUAACUGAUUCACAAGGACAUUUUAUAUGAAACAGAGGAUCAAUAUUCAGCUGACAGUCUUCAGUGCAGAGACAGAUAUUUAAUAAUUACUCUGAAGACUGAUGAACAGUGAUGACAUGGAGGAUUUAACAUAUUUCUGAGCUCGCUGCAUGUCAGCGAUGAUAAACGUCCGUGACGACGGCGUGAUCACCUCGUCAGUGUGAGCAGCUCGCAGAUAUCAGCGUCUCCUCGCCGACGCUGCGAUCGUCCCCUGACAUCACGUGGAGUUACCGUGACCUUCUGCUCAGAGAUUUAUUGAACUCCUGUACAUUUUCUUUCACUGUGGAAUAUCUAAUCUAACGAUAUCAGUCGUGACAUUUCAAUAUUGAUUCAAAAUAAAGCGAUGUUUGCCGAG